GUACUGGCUUUAGCAGUACAUAUACUAAAACUGAAAUAAUACAGAGAUUAUCAUGGCUUCUGCACGAGAAUGACAUAAAUUUGUAAAGCAUCCAAUUUAUUU